AUAAUAUAUAUUCAAUUUUUUAUCAUAUCAGAGUAUACAUAUUUACAUAUUUUAAUAUUCAUUUAAAACAAAUUAUUUCGAAUUUUUUAAAUCAUUAUUUUUCCAUAUGAUCCAACAGUUCCUGUUCCACUUACAUUAAACAACAUCUGUUUCCUUCGUUUCGCCAAUAACUACAAAUAAACAUACAUCAACUAGCAAAACACAACAUCAACAAGUCUAUAAAAAGAAGUUCAUCAUGUGAUUUCGACGUAUACCGUAAACGUUUUACGUAACUGUGAUUUUGAAAAAAAGAAUCCUUGGGGCAUGUAAUCUCACCCUACAAGUUUGAACUGGAGCAUGGAUGGAUCUCGUUGCGUGCGCGUUUUUCUUCCUUUCGCACGGCUUCUGCCUAGCAGGCACGUUUAUGGAUUAUGUACAGCUCUUACAAAAUUUCACGGAGAAUCUCACAGUUCCUCUUCUUCUCUCCUUUCCCCUUUCUCGACCUCGCCAUCCCUGGAAGAGGCGUCGCACUUUCCCUGGACUUCGUACGUGGUACGAAGAAUACGUAAGUCUUUCUAGAAUGGCUGAAUCGAAAUUGAUAUUUCGAUUUUCUCAUGGUUAGCGAAAAAAUAAUACUUUCUCGAAUUCGAAUAUUUCUUUGUGAAUUAUAAAAAGACAAUGGCGUCAAAAUAGAGAGGAUAAUUUUGAUUAUUUAACAAUUGCACAUCAUAUCAAAACGUGCAACUGAAAUUUUUUCUUGCGAGGAACCAGAUGGCCGAGCAUAAAAAACGACAGCUUAGUAACAAAGCUGAUGUUUCGAUUGCUACAAAUCGCGAGGAAAGAUUCUACGAGAGAAUAGAUUAGAUAGAAGCGAUAUCUUCUCUUUUCUUGUUCAACAACUUCCGCUCUUUCGAUAUUAAUUUUUCAUUGUCUAUAAUAUCUUCCAAAUCAUCAAAUAUUUGCUUGAUUUGAUUUCUGAAAAAUGCAUUAUAUUUCUCUUGCGCAAAGUCUGCAAGAUUAAGCGCGAAAAAAUUAAUAAUGCAAAAUAGAGAGAAACAUCCCAGCGUAAUGAUUUAAUUUAACUCUAAUAUAGGGUUUGCGAUAUAUUCUUCAUCAUCAUAGUGUGUUUAAUUGCACUAGCCUCGCAUUGUGAGAUGCUGGUUGAUUACUCAAUUCUGCUUGCUCUGAUUACUCAAUUUCUAAUUACUUGAUUUACAACGAACUCGAUCGAAUCGAGAUUACUUCGAACAUAGUCAGAAUUUUCUAUUCAAAUAUUAUUAUCGAUUUGAAUUAUACUUUCAACUAGAAUGUAUCUUAAUAGAUGCAUCGUCCAUUCCUCUCGUUACACGAUAUAAAUCUCAUAAGGCAGGGACGAUGAGCUUCUCCAAUGAAGGAAAUUCUCAUGAAUUCUCAGCUGACUUAAUAAAUCUGUUACGUGUACCGAUUGCAUAAACAAUGAAAUCUAAACACACGUAAGCGAUUUAAUGCGGCGUAUCACAACUCAUUACUCAUCCUUUAAACGUUUCCAUUAUAGUUGUAUAUUAUAUUGAAUCGCAUGUAUAAAAGUUUCCGGUAAUUUUUGAUAACGCAUUUUCCAUCGUGCGGAAUUUCCAUCUGCAAUGGAAUUUUAUUAAUUUCGCUUUCGAGAUACCGGUCGAUUAUUUUACUUCUCGAAAAAUACAUUUAAUGACGUUAAAUUGAGAGUACGUAAAAUGUUGAAGAACUCGCGAGGCGAGUAGAAUAGCGAGGCGAAACCACUUUCGAAUCCCUGACCGGUGUCCAGACUUCUUCGGCCUGCUUUGCGAGCAUCUGUUAAACGCUGGUCGUGAGAAUUGACGUCAUGUCCAGGUUGGAGAAGCUCGUGUGCCCCUCGGGAAGGGAGGAGGGGCUGAACCGUUGGUUCUGAUCGGUGCAGUGAAAGGAGAAAGGCGGCCGAUGGACAAAAAGGAAAAGAAAAAUUGAUCGUCUUUAAAGGAGGAGGAAUAUUCACGUAGCUGCGGGCGAACACCCAGGGGUCACGAGUGGAUCGGGACCUAGAAUAAAGAUCCAAGUCGUAAGAUUCGAAAGAAGAGAAGAGAGAUCGGUCGAAGGGAAAGAGAAAUUAAGAAUAAGGAAAGAACGACGAGAGCUGGAGAGAAGAGUUGGAGAGAAGUACGCGAAGACGAAAUUGAACACAGAUGGUUGUUUCAACGGUGGCGACGUUUUUUUUUAUUUUUUUCUACAAAAAAGCCUUUAUACAAGUAUAAAAAAAUGCGUGGUUAAGGAGUAGCGUUUAAGACAUAUAAAAAAUAUAAUGUAUCUGUGUGUUUACGUGUAUAUUCGUGUCAGCGUCCGCUACGUUUCUCGAUUUUCAUUUUCUUUUGAUCCCUUUUUUCUCUUUUUCCUUUUUUUUCUUUUUUUAAUUGUCCAAUACGUUAGGCAUCAUUGAUCUUUCUUGGAAUAACUGUUAGGCCAGAUUCGAUGACGUAGGCGUUCAGUUCCUCCUCGUACUCUUGGAUGACGUAGCGUACGCUGUGGAAAGCGUGUAAAUUGUAUUUACAAGGCGCUUCUAUGCGCCGAUCACGGCUUCGACUUCGGCUCCGGCACCACGGCUAUGUACCAUUUCGAAGUCAUAACGAAUGGUGGUAACAUUGAAUCUCUUUUGAGAUCGUUUUCUAUAAUAAUUUGUUUCUCUUUUUUUUUCUUUUCUUUUCUCUCUUUUUUUUUUUCUUUUUUCUUUUUUCUUUUUUUGCGACAGCUCGUUUUUAUCACUUGAUACGUUAGAUCCCUCGUGGAUCCGACCGCGACGACGAUGAUUUUGGUACGAUAAGAAAACGACACCCCGUCGACUCUCGGAUCGUUAAAUCUAGCAGCCGGUCGUUCGAACCGUUUCAAGUUCACUCCACGAGCCCUGACCCGUUGAAGCGACGACCUUUUAUUCCUCAACGAGCCAAAGAUCUGGAGCUUUCGUACUUGCCCUUUAGCACGCACGCCCGCGAUUCCUUCGAGGAUCGUGGCCCGUUGAAGCGACGACGAUUUGAUUUCAAC
rnacentral:lncRNA from 1 species